rnacentral:rRNA from 1 species
UACGAAGGGGGCGAGCGUUGUUCGGAUUUACUGGGCGUAAAGGGCGCGCAGGCGGCGAUCUUUGUCAGGCGUGAAAGCCCCGGGCUUAACCUGGGAACUGCGCUUGGGACGGGAUUGCUGGAGACCGGGAGAGGAGAGUGGAAUUCCCAGUGUAGAGGUGAAAUUCGUAGAUAUUGGGAAAAACACCGGUGGCGAAGGCGGCUACCUGGACCGGUACUGACGCUGAUGCGCGAAAGCGUGGGGAGCAAACGGG